rnacentral:lncRNA from 7 species
CCAAAGCGAGACCUCCACCUGGCGCUGCUGGCUAGGCCUAACCUCCUGCCCAGUCAGGACUGAGGAGAACAACAACAACAAGGCCCUUCCUGAGGAGCAGCCUGUGGAGGAGACCAAGAGCCAGACCUCCACCUGGCGCUGCUGGUUAGGCCUAACGUCCUGCCCUGUCAGGAUCGAGGACACAAAGACAAGCCAGGCCCUUCCUGAGGAGCAGCAUACAGAGGAAACCAAGAGCCAAACCUCAUACUGGUCCUGCUUGCUUGGCUCUUCCCAAUGCCCCUAUGGGUCUGGUACAAGGGCAGCAAAGUUGCUGUUCCACAAGGCCCAAAGCAGCAGGCCCCAGGCACCAAGCAGAAGGCCUACAGCUUGCCUGGCAUCCUGGGCCACCUUUGGGACUACCAUAUGCAAAGAGGGAGAACCUGGCUCCUUACACCUCCCUCGACAAUUUUCUUCCUUCUCUGGCUGCUGACAACUGCCCGUGCCCACUGGAGAAGAUUAAGAAGACCUCGGGGACAGAGAACGGGACAAGCGGACCCAGCUUCCUUAGGAACAGAGGAAACGGACAACCUAAAUGCUCUUGACCUGCUCUGCCAGAUGGACGCCUACAUAACCUUAAUGGAGAGACUUAUGACGAUCCUCAUGCAGCACCAUGUGAAAAAUGUCAGGAGCCAGCAGUGCAGGAAGACAGCGCACAGCACGGGGGACAGGAAGAGCCUCUCCACAGACUCCUGAGGGAGCUGGCAGAGGUGACUGCCAAGCCGCUCUCGGCCAUCUACCAGCCCUCCUGAUUAACUGGAGAGGUCAACAAGGCCAAGUGGCGGGUCCUGC